ensembl:lncRNA
GUGGCUUUGCAGACCUAUGAAAUCCACCCUGAGCUGAUCUGAAAAUAAACAGCAUCAAAACUGUAUGGUUUUGCUGAAAUAAAACCCUGGAGCAAUGAAACAAAUGAGUAACACUUUCUAUUGGUCUACGUAGUUUAGUACAUGAAACAUACAUGUAAGCAACUCAAGAUGAAUGAGUCAUCUUGACUUAAUAAAGCUUACAAAUACUUGCUAAAUAUUUGAAAAGUCACAUGCCAGGACCCUUCAUCGCUUGUUUUGUUAGACUCCUGCUUUGCCAAAUCAAAACAGUCAGAAAUCAUAAAAAUAAUCCACACAAUCUGCCUGAAAAUGCAGUUUUCUAGCAUCAUUUUCCUUAGUUUACAGCAUCAAGUCCUUCUUUCUGCCAUCAACAUUUUGCAAUAGAGAGAGCAUGACUUCCUCUUCUCAUAAGUUCAGCUGACAAGACAGGAUUUCUCCCUGGAUCUUGGUGCAUUACAUACACCUGUCAAGCAGAAGCUUCAAGGCAGCCUCAGGGGAGCAUCUCUCAAAGACACUCCUGCAAUAACAAUGAACUCACCAUCCAUUUGCUGCCUGUUUCUUUGAAACGAUGAGCAAGUUAAGAACACACUGACCAAACCACUUCAAUUUGCACUUCUCUAGGGAAGAGUAUGGUAAUGCCUGAGUUUGGACCUGCACGUCUUCCUGCACACCUACCAGUGAGGACAGCCUGAGUAAUUAAGCACUUUGGAUGUUGAAAGCAAUUUGGACAUCUCCUAAACCCAGAGCUGAAUUUUGCUGUUUUCUGCAAGGAAUAAGGGCGUCAGAAAUCCAGAGCAAGCUGAGGACAUGCAUGGUGGGUGAAGGCAGGAUUUCACUCCCGGGUGCUGGGAGGACCUUUCCCCUGGAGCUGACUGUGAGAAGGGAUGUCACCAUGAUCGGUUCUGGUAAUGUUCACUCUGCCUUCAGAGCAAUUCUUUCCUCCAAUACAAAGGAUGACUAAUUACAUCAGGAACAGCUGCGGUGCCCCUGGAAGGACAGAAGACCAGCUGAUUUCUGCCACGCCUCCCCAGCCAACUGGCGACACCUGAGCACUGCAAGUGGAAUUUAAUCUCCCAGAUGGAAAGCAAAUCAAUCUGCCCAUCGCUGCAGCUGAGGUAUACUUUGGCUCAACUUUAAUUUAUUCUCUGAAGCUGAAGGAGGCUGGUCAUUUCAAGUUAUGAAAUCUUGUACGUGGAAGCAUUUGGUCACGACGAAUCUCUGAAGAACAGAUGUUCUGAUGCUGUCCCAUCAGGUGCAUUCACUGCUUUGCUGUGUGUUGUCCUUCUACUGUGUGACAGCUUAAGAUGGAGCCUGUGCAGUGCCCUCAGUCUGUAGCAGAGAUGUCAUUUAAUGGAUGAUCAGAACGUUAAUGAAUCUGCUCUGUGGAAAGAAUGGUCAGUACCCGGGGAAAAGCACCGCAGGAGAACCAGAAUGUGGGAUUGAAAAGUGACAGUGUGUUUUGUAGUGGAUAUUUGUGGUUAUAAUACCACUUAAAGAUAUUUGUAUCCUCGGAUUGAAAACAGGGAUCAGGAUGGGGACAGCCCCCACCGUAUUUCUGUACCUCCUGGCACCCGUGGUUAUCCAGAUCAGUCCUUGCUUGGCAGCUUUACUUUUCCAAAUGCCCCAACCUCUGUGCAGCGCUGGAUGCCCAAGGAGGCAGCGGAGCAGGAAGAGCUGAAGCACACAGGUUUUUGAAUCUAUGCCACAAUCUGCUGGGGCUGCACCACGUGGCUGCAUUCAGGCUUCUUCUGGGAUCUUCAGCUUCUGCUUUCCUGACACGGCCUGCUGGAUUGCAGGACCUGAGACCAGUGUUCUCCAGGCUAUGGGGAAGGUGGGAUUCACAGUAGUCAGUCGAAACACCGAGUGUUUAGGAGCUUUUGUAUGAGUGCCAGGAAGGAGAAGGAUGCUCUGGAAUUUGUGCAAAAGGAGAAUACAGUGAUGCUCACUGUGGUGUUCCAGAGCUGGGUUAUAAUGAGAAUGGAGACUUUCUUCAAGGUCUCAGGCUGGGGUUCUGCCUGCUGUGAGGAGCAAGGCAUUCCCCUGCUCAAGGCCAGGUGAGAAGCAUUGAUAACUGUCUCUGUUUACUCUGGAAUGUGAUGCUGAGAGCUCAGAUCCUCACCAGGUGGGAGAUGCUCAUGGGUCCUUUUGCAAAUUAAGGGCUGAAUUCAUCCAAAGCAAACUUUGCACAUCACAAGCAAUGAUGUGAACUAUUCACAGAGCCAGUGGCUGAAGAAGUGGAUGGGAUCUGCAGCCAGAAGAAACAAAUGUGUCAUUUGAAUUAUGGCACAGUUUGCUUUGAGAUUUUCUCAGUUCAAAGUUGACAUCUCUUCAUCUUAUGUAACAGCGUAAAAGAUCUGUUAAACACCACUGCAGGCUGUGUUUUUAACUGCUCUGAAAAUACCAGUGAUUAAAUACAAUUUUUUCUGUUGCUGAUGUAAUUCAGAGAGUUAAGGAAAAAAAAGAGACUUUGCA